AACGGGGAAGCAACAAAGUAUAAAUAGAUAUCAUGAUAAGAAAACAUAAUAGACAUUAAUAGUCUGCUAGCAAUGGGAAGACAACCAUAACGACAUGAGCUAAAUUAUCCAGUGCGCACAACUAGUUAGAAACAAACGUCCUUUGACAAGAAGCUUCUAAUUAAAUCAUGACUGCGCCUAAGCAGUGUUAUUAUAAGAGUGAAGGUGGAUGUGCUGCUACUUCCCACUUCCCUUGAUGAGCAACAAGCACCUGCAUUGAGUAAUGCAAGAGUGAGAUGAAACAUCUCAGCAAGCGAAUAAUUUUGACGAGAUCUUUAAACCACAAACUGAAUUCAUCAACAUUUUAAAAGAGUCACAAUUAAAAUCAGAAAUACUUGUAGAUAUGGAACUCAGUAGUCCCACUAUAACCAAUACCAUCUCAUUUCCUCGAACAACCACAAUAGGUUCUAUAACACUUCCGUGCGUCAAUAAUACCUGCAAAUAUCACUUCAAUAUAUGCAUAGGAAUGCAAUGUGUAGGUACUCUAUCUUCAUACCUCUGAGAGUAUAAAACCACAUCAUCUGCAAAUAUCACUUCAAUGAAUGCAUAUGAAUGCAAUGCAUAUGUCCUCUGCCUUCAUACCUCUAAGGGUAUGAAGCCGCAUCGUACCCCUCCUCGGGCAACGUACGAUGCUAAAUUGUACCGGUACGGUCGGACCAUAGGUCACGACAAAACUUCAGAUGCAAAUGAGUCAUGCAAUGUAUAUGGCAUGCUGCAUUUAUCAAUAACCUUCACUUCCUUCAGAUACAAUACAAACCUCAAAUAAUACUUUAUUUACCUUCAGAUACAAUACCAACCUCAAAUAAUACUUCAUUUACCUUCAGAUACAAUACCAACCUCAAAUAAUACUUCAUUUACCUUCAGGGGUGUGAAUUAAUCUCAUGAAUCAUACUCGAAUCAUAAUCAUCAUCAAUAUAUGAUUGAGCAUCAGUAUAAUGCAAGCAAGUAAAGCAUCACCAUAGAGUCCAAUUAUGAAAGAAUCCAAAACUUCUGAAUAUUAGAGUGUAGGCAAUAGAAAUAACAGGUUAGAACGGAAGCAACCACCGCUACAUUCACUUGCCUUCAUCGAAGAAGAAGAAAUGUACUAGACAUGAUCUAGAGUAUAGCCACCUAGGGUUUCCCCAAGAAAAUCUGCAAGAGAUGGGGGUAGAACAUCUCCUUGAUCCUCUCUUCCUCUUCAAUCCAUCUUGCUCCUCCUCUUCUCGAUCCUUGCUGCGUGGGGGGAGAUCUAGAGGGAGGAGGAAGUAGUGGAGGGUGGCUGCAAGGGGAAGGGGGAGGGGCGGCCAAGGGUGGGGAAAAGGGGG
rnacentral:lncRNA from 1 species